rnacentral:rRNA from 1 species
CCUACGGGUGGCUGCAGUGGGGAAUAUUGGACAAUGGGGGCAACCCUGAUCCAGCCAUGCCGCGUGUGUGAAGAAGGCCCUCGGGUUGUAAAGCACUUUCAGUGAGGAAGAACGCCUGGUGGUUAAUACCCAUCAGGAAAGACAUCACUCACAGAAGAAGCACCGGCUAACUCCGUGCCAGCAGCCGCGGUAAUACGGAGGGUGCGAGCGUUAAUCGGAAUUACUGGGCGUAAAGCGCGCGUAGGUGGCUUGAUAAGCCGGUUGUGAAAGCCCCGGGCUCAACCUGGGAACGGCAUCCGGAACUGUCAAGCUAGAGUGCAGGAGAGGAAGGUAGAAUUCCCGGUGUAGCGGUGAAAUGCGUAGAGAUCGGGAGGAAUACCAGUGGCGAAGGCGGCCUUCUGGACUGACACUGACACUGAGGUGCGAAAGCGUGGGUAGCAAGCAGGAUUAGAUACCCCUGUAGUC